GAUGAAGAACGCAGCGAAAUGCGAUAAGUAGUGUGAAUUGCAGAAUUCAGUGAAUCAUCGAAUCUUUGAACGCACAUUGCGCCCGCCAGUAUUCUGGCGGGCAUGCCUGUUCGAGCGUCAUUUCAACCAUCAAGCCCCAGGCUUGUGUUGGAGCCCUGCGGCUGCCGCAGCCUCCCAAAACCAGUGGCGGGCUCGCUAUCACACCGAGUGCAGUAGUUUACUCUUCGCUCAGGGCGUGUGGCGGGUGCUAGCCGUAAAACCCCCAACUUCUCAAGGUUGACCUCGGAUCAGGUAGGAAUACCCGCUGAACUUAAGCAUAUCAAUAAGCGGAGGA
rnacentral:misc_RNA from 1 species